rnacentral:rRNA from 1 species
GUGACCUCAAAUCAGGUAGGACUACCCGCUGAACUUAAGCAUAUCAAUAAGCGGAGGAAAAGAAACUAACAAGGAUUCCCCUAGUAACUGCGAGUGAAGCGGGAAAAGCUCAAAUUUAAAAUCUGGCGGUCUUUUGGCUGUCCGAGUUGUAAUCUAGAGAAGUGUUAUCCGCGCUGGACC